rnacentral:misc_RNA from 1 species
UACGGAGGGUCCAAGCGUUAUCCGGAAUUACUGGGCGUAAAGAGUUGCGUAGGUGGCAUUGUAAGUAGAUAGUGAAAGCGUGGGGCUCAACCUCAUAUCCAUUAUCUAAACUGCAAAGCUAGAGGGCGAGAGAGGUAACUAGAAUUCCUUGUGUAGGAGUGAAAUCCGUAGAUAUAAGGAGGAAUACCGAUGGCGUAGGCAGGUUACUGGCUCGUCCCUGACACUAAGGCACGAAAGCGUGGGUAGCAAACGGG